GAUGAACGCUAGCUACAGGCUUAACACAUGCAAGUCGAGGGGCAGCAUGAAGUUUGCUUGCAAACUUUGAUGGCGACCGGCGGAUGGGUGAGUAACGCGUAUCCAACCUGCCCCCUUCCCGGGCACAGCACUUGGAAACGAGGAUUAACUCCCGAUGGCGUCGCCUUAACGCAUGUUUCGGCGACCAAAUGUUUAAGGAAGGGGAUGGGGAUGCGUCCCUUAGCUUGUUGGCGGGGUAACGGACCACCAAGGCUCCGAUGGGUAGGGGUUCUGAGAGGAAGGUCCCCCACACUGGAACUGAGACACGGUCCAGACUCCUACGGGAGGCAGCAGUGAGGAAUAUUGGUCAAUGGAGGCAACUCUGAGCCAGCCAAGUAGCGUGAGGACGACUGCCCUACGGGUUGUAAACCUCUUUUGUCGGGGAAUAAACCGCGCCACGUGUGGCGCUCUGCAUGUACCCGCAGAAUAAGGACCGGCUAAUUCCGUGCCAGCAGCCGCCGUAACAC
rnacentral:rRNA from 1 species